GCCGGAGAGAGGCCUUGUAGGUACAGACGCUGAGGCUCGGUCGGCUCCGAGAAGGGCCUCUUUCGCGGGUGGGAGUCCGGGGUUCCGCGCCCGCCAACCCGCGCCUUGCCCCCUCCCAGCUCCCGGGCCGACGAAAUGACCAUUAAGAAGUAGAUGCCCAGAUGCCAAAGUAAUGAAACAGUCAAUUUGUCAUAAAGUAAGAUGCAGCUGUGGCUUUUCAACCAGAUUAGGACAAAAUUGUAUCUAUUUUUCUCAGAAGAGAAUUCCACAAGGUUAAGUCAGCAAACAAAGAAAACAUGGUGUUUUGAAGUAUGAUUAAACUCCUGAUGCUGCAGCAGAGGCUAAGAAUAUUAAUGGCCAGAUCUAGUGCUCA
rnacentral:lncRNA from 1 species